rnacentral:misc_RNA from 1 species
AAGUCGUAACAAGGUUUCCGUAGGUGAACCUGCGGAAGGAUCAUUAUUGAAUGAAUUUAGGAUUUGGUUUGAUGCUGGCCCAAGGGCAUGUGCACGCCUUCUCCUUCAUCCACACACACCUGUGCACUUGUGAGACGGAGGAUUAAUUUCUUCCGUCUACUAAUCACACAAACUCAUUGUAAUUGAACUGAAUGUAAUUGAUGUAACACAUCAUUUGAACUAAGUUUCAACAACGGAUCUCUUGGCUCUC